GAUGGAGAACGCAGCGAAAUGCGAUAAGUAAUGUGAAUUGCAGAAUUCAGUGAAUCAUCGAAUCUUUGAACGCACAUUGCGCCCGCCAGUAUUCUGGCGGGCAUGCCUGUUCGAGUGUCAUUUCAACCCUCAAGACCCCUUCGGGGGACUUGGUGUUGGGGACCGGCACAGGGGCCUGCCUGCUUGUCUUGCAGCGCCCUCGCCGCCCCCGAAAUGAAUUGGCGGCCUCGUCGCGGCCUCCCCUGCGUAGUAGCACAACCUCGCAACGGGAACGUGACGGCGGCCACUGCCGUAAAACAACCCCAAUUUUAUUAGAGUUGACCUCGAAUCAGGUAGGAAUACCCGCUGAACUUAAGCAUAUCAAUAAGCGGAGGA
rnacentral:misc_RNA from 1 species